UUGUUGGAGAGUUUGAUCCUGGCUCAGGACGAACGCUGGCGGCGUGCUUAACACAUGCAAGUCGAACGCUGAAGC
rnacentral:rRNA from 1 species